AGCGGGGGACCCUGAACUCUCCUACUGCCGGCGGUCAUGCCAGUGAACACAAGCCUCUCAGGAAACGGUCUGGCAGCCUGUUGAUUCAAGAGCCGUAAAAACACCCCUGCCCUUCGACCCAGUAAGCCCGGUCCUGGCAGUUUAUCUUCGGAAACUAGCUUUACAAAAAGGAAGGAAGGGGGGAAGGUUACAUGCAUUAAGAUAUUAAUUCAAGCAACCUAGCAGUCAGCAGAAGAGCAACGGGGGAAGUGUGGCUGGAGUUGCACACGCAAUGAUGGUCCAUGGGGCAUCUGAAGGCUAUUCUGCAACUCAGGGAACGUGGGGACUGUGACGCAGAAACUCAGCUUCCAGCGGUCGCAGGGUGAACAGAGGUGAAAGGCAGGGAUGUCAGAGAACUCCAUCCCCACGUCUGCAGUCCCCGCUGCGUGCUGUAACCUGACCUCGGGAACAGGGGGCAGAGCCACCGAGCGACAGUGAGUCCUUCAGCCACGCGUUUGGACGCCACAGGCGGGGGUUUGUGGCAAGAUGACACAGAGCAUGCAGGAGCCAGGCGUGAGGACAGGAAGAGAGCAGUGGCCACGCGUGGGACAUGCGCCCCAUCUCUGAGAGCCAGGCAGCAGGCACAGAAUCCCGGGCAUUCCAGCUCUGGGGACCAGCAGUACCCAAGGUGAUGGUGGCGUAAAUGACUCCUUCGGGCACCUGCACCCAUCUGGGGACUCCAGUGGGGGGACCUCUGCCAGAAGGACCUGUGUGAAAUCCAGAAGCACAGACAAAGGCAAGAUAGAGACAAGAUGAAGAAGGGGACAGCCCCAAGAAAGAGACACCGAGACACCCGGAGGAUUCUGUGGCCUCAGAGGGUGGCCGAGCCCACGCUGGAAGGAGCCUGGGCACCCACACUGCCUGCAGACCAGUAACACCACGCUGAGCUGUCCGUGCGUGAGAAGCAGACUGGUACUACGUCCCCGUGAACCAAAAGGGGGUGGCCUGUGAGGGCAGCUGUCGCCCCAACAGCAGACAUCAUCAGAGAGGUUGUGGGCCAGCAGCCCAGACACUCUUACCCGCUGCACGGGCCAUGAGGGCGCUUCCGGCAGUUUCACUGGGCGAGAGGACUCUGACCCUAUGCCGCAGUGUGGGGACGGUGCUGACACAGCAGGACAAGAGACCAAGACAGUGGUCCUUGGCGGGAAGUCAGCAAAAUUGCAGCUGGCCAACAAACUCGAGCGAGGGGCUGAAGGCCAACGGCCACUGCUCCUGUGGUUACCCGUAUGUCUCACUUCUCACACAGGUGUAGGGGACACCAGACAGGAACUGAGAGCAGGCUAGCUUGCAUCCCAGGGAAAGCCGCCCCUGCAUGGCGGGUGUGGCCAGUUCUCCCCACAUCCCCCUUGGUCCUUGUCCUGGCAGGAGAGGAAGGGCAAUCUGGCAUCUUCUCACCCCCUUGCUGCCUUGGGGACGACCCCCAGUAUGACUUCGCACUCCAGAGACAGACGCCGAGCGGCUCAGGUCCUUCCAAGCACUUGUUUGAGUCAGGAUGUGGUGUCUGCCCCACCAGGAGGCUCCUGGGAGCUUCUGGGAGGCAGGCCCCAGCUGGCUCAGGCCACACCCAAGAGAGCGCCCUGGGCCUGAGGCGCCAUGGAGGUGAGGGGCCCACCACGGUGAGUCACUUCUUCCUCCUUCCAGACGCAGCCAGACGGCUGCUACACACUCUCCGCUUGCUCUGAAGUCACAGCUUGGCUGGUGACCCCCAAACAUCUCACAUUCUCAGCGAAUUCAAGCUAAGUGACCUCUGCCCACCAAGCAGCUUCUUAGCAGAAAAUAACCUCAGACCAAACAGGUCCUUACCUCCCACACAGUUCCUGGGGCCACGGGUGGCAGUGACGUGGGAAGACAAAGAAGACUCCUCUUACCUGCCUCCAAGUGACAGGUCCCCUCCCACCCCUGGCUCCAGUCCCAUGCUUUAUGGAACCAACAACACACCUGCCAGCUCAUCCCCCUCACCAGGGACUGACCUUUGUCUCUCAUCUCUGCAGACUGCUCUGUACUUUCAAAGACCUUUCCCUUACAAAGGAAGGAAAGGGAAGCAGGUAAAAAGGGGACAGUGGGAGGACCAGAGUCCAGCAGCCUAGAAGAGGUCAUGACCAUCUCCUUCUCCCAGAACCUUUGCGGCCUUUCCGGGUUGAAGAAUUCCUACACCGAGAGCAUUGCUGAGGUGACUUCCUCAGGCUGAGAACCAGUGGCCAAGGACAGAUGGCCCCAGUGGGAGCCCUGCCCCAUAGCACAGAUGAUCCUUUGAACACCCAGACUGGCUGCCAAGGGACCCUCCAGUCUCAUUCAGAGAAAAGCCAGUCCUCACCGCAGUCUGCAGCUGAAUUCUGCAUCCCCAACUCCUGUUUCUCCCCACCCCUCCACCUCACCUGCCCCUGCUCCAAAGGCCUCCUUGUUCGUCCUCAAACACAAUAAGAGCUCUCUUGCCUCAGGGCCUUUGCAUGUGCUGUGCAGUUGGGAAAGCUUUGCCUGCAGUUUUCUGCCCCAUCCACUUCCCACCUCACUCACAGUCGCGCUGAUAGCGACUUCCCUGUCGCUAGGGAGGCCCUCCCUGUCUAAUGUAACAGCCCCCUCUCCCUGCAACCCAGCCUCUCCUGCUUUCCAUCUUUAUCAUCGCUUGGUGCACCCUAUGUUUCUUUGUUGUCUUCCUGCUGAGCUCUCUGGCCCCCUGAGCUCCUGACUCCUGGAGGUGUGCUUGGCAUGUAGGUGCCCCUUUGCCAGCACACCUGUGUCCUGGCACAUUUCUGUGCUGAAUCCAGCCACACCCAGGCGGGAAUGCGGAGAGCAUCAGGCACAUGAGCCAGCUCCUGUGGACCAGGCCGACCUCUCCUUGCAGGCGGGCUGGGUCUGCGGUAGGUCUCAGCUCCCCAGCGGAACGGAAGCUCAGUGCUCUGUGGCCAGUUCUCAACUUGGACAACGCUCGCUGGUAACAGCGGCCCGGGCUGCUCUCUGCUUCCAGCACCGGCACCUCUGCGGGAAGUGCUCAGGCCCCCUCCGAGCCCCAGCCCUGGCCCCAGCCUGUACCGUUG